GCUUAUUAGCAAGUAAAUAUUCAGUUACGAGGAAAAAGAGGAUGGUAGGAAGUGUUAUAGUGAGCAUGAUGAUCCAGUCUCGACUAUUGAAGAUCCAGUAAAAUUCUAAAAAACUGCCACCAAAUUUAUGCUACCAUGACCUUGCAUCACAUAAGUAUGUUCUCUAAUAAUAUUGUCCAUUGUCCAAUACAUAUUUCAACCAAUUAACGGCUCUGCAUAGUUGAAAAGAUGAUUGUCAACCCUUAUACACCUGAAAGACAAGCACAAUCCAAGAUCUAUG
rnacentral:lncRNA from 1 species